AUGAGAGAGUGAGAGGUGGGGGUGGGGAGUGAUGGAGGUGACGUCAGGCCUCCGCUGGGCUGUCAGCCCUCCUAUUGGUCGGAGGGAGGCUUUUAAAAAGAGCAGGCAGCGCUGAAGCGCACACAGGAGACUCGAGCCGCUCUCCGUGACGCACCGCGGAACCUCUUCACCGCACUGCCACUCCGUCUCCCACUGAGCACCGGAGCGGGACUGACAGCAUCCAGGUGCAAACGCGACCACCCUGUUGCCCCGGCGCGGCGCCCGACUGACAGAGCAGAAUUCAACAGGCCGAGGCAGAGUUCCUGAGUGAGAAGCAAAACGUCGCCGCGUUCCACCUGCACACAGUGAGUAACCGUCGGCACAUCGGCCAUCUGCCGUCUCAACACACACACACACACACACACACACACACCGCUUCAGUCGCAGCGCUGACAUUCCUAGUUCUGUGCCUGGAACCGUUGAAGGUUCUGACGGCGUAAAAUUGUAAUUUUUUUUUUUUUUUACUUUUCGAUUUAGUGAAAAUGUCAGGUUUUGUUUUGUCUGUGAGUCUGUCUGCGGGUGAAAGACCCCCGUGAUGUGAUUUUUGUGAUCUUAAUGUGCCGCCUUUCACACAGCAGGUGUGUCACUUCAUCUGAACAGUGUGUGUGUGUGUGUGUGUGUGUGUGUGUACGUGUGUGUGUUUGUGUCAAGGAUGAAAAUUUAAAAAAAAGGGAGAAAAACAAAAAGCUUUCUGUCACUGUGAAACACCUCACAGUGCUGCGCUAAUUUAUUGUCGCUAAUCUUUCUGAACUGAACUUAUCGUAAACGAAUCAAAUGUUAAUUACAUGUAUUUAUUUUUGGCCACUUUUUGUUUGGCUAACACUUUGUCACUGCGCUAAAAGAUGUGUCAAAAAUAGUUGAAGUAACGAUCGACUACAUUUUCUGUCAGAUAGCAUCGGGAUAUCGAUUUGUCCUGUAGCUCAUUAGGAGCUAACAGCGUAAAAAAAAAAAGAUUCACAGAUUCACAGAUAGCUGGAUAGAAAAUAAAAGGCUAAAAGUUAGCUCCCCAAACACAAAGAGUUGGCUAAUAAAUAACCAAAACUAACAAAAUAUAAAACUUAGCUCGUUCUGGCUUUAUUAACCAGUUAAAGCUACAUCUGUGUUAGCCACAGCGCAGCUAACAGAAUAUAGUUAAUGUGACGUUAGCUACUUGUUUACAUAUUUGUAUCUAUUUUGAAAGAUUCUUCAGGUUUUUUUCCCCAACUAAACGUAUCUUAAAGAUUAAACGAUAAAAAAAAAAAGUAAAAUCACUUUAAGGCUAAAAUUAAGUUUUACGACAGCUUUACAUUUUUCCCUGAUAUUUUGACCAAAAACGUGUCAUUGUUGUCAACGUUUUGUCCAAAACUUCAAGAACAGAAUUUAUGUUUCUUUUUAUUCGUUUUUUUUUUUUUUGCAUCAACGUAUGUGUGUGUGUGAGUGAGUGUGUGUGUGUGUGUGUCUUUGCCUGGCGUGUGUUUACAAUCCAAGGUUAUUCACUCGCACCACAUGGAUCCGUCCCAUGUCCUGAUCGCCAUGGUUACAGGCCCCACUUAUCACAAAGGGCCCCAGCAGAUCAGACAGGUGUGUGUCCUGAAGAUGUCUCUCCCCGACAACUGUUGCCAGGAACCUUUGUUGCAGAUAAUGCACAGGUGUUUGUCCUCGGCACCGAAAUCAGUGGGAGCG